rnacentral:rRNA from 1 species
AUUGAACGCUGGCGGCAUGCUUUACACAUGCAAGUCGAACGGUAACAGGCCGCAAGGUGCUGACGAGUGGCGAACGGGUGAGUAAUGCAUCGGAACGUGCCCAGUCGUGGGGGAUAACGCAGCGAAAGCUGUGCUAAUACCGCAUACGAUCUAUGGAUGAAAGCGGGGGACCGUAAGGCCUCGCGCGAUUGGAGCGGCCGAUGUCAGAUUAGGUAGUUGGUGGGGUAAAGGCCCACCAAGCCAACGAUCUGUGGCUGGUCUAAGAGGACGACCAGCCACACUGGGACUGAGACACGGCCCAGACUCCUACGGGAGGCAGCAGUGGGGAAUUUUGGACAAUGGGCGCAAGCCUGAUCCAGCAAUGCCGCGUGCAGGAAGAAGGCCUUCGGGUUGUAAACUGCUUUUGUACGGAACGAAAAGGUCUGGGUUAAUACCCUGGGCUGAUGACGGUACCGUAAGAAUAAGCACCGGCUAACUACGUGCCAGCCGCCGCAGUAAAAC